GCGAGAACGCGUAGUCAACCUACCCUAUGGACGGGGAUAACCUCGGGAAACUGAGAAUAAUACCCGAUAGGACAUUAUGCCUGGAAUGGUUUAUGUUUCAAAUAAUUUAUUGCCAUAGGAUGGGACUGCGGCCUAUCAGUUUGUUGGUGAGGUAAUGGCCCACCAAGACUAUUACAGGUACGGGCUCUGAGAAGAGUAGCCCGGAGAUGGGUACUGAGACACGGACCCAGGCCCUAUGGGGCGCAGCAGGCGAGAAAACUUUGCAAUGUGCGAAAGCACGACAAGGUUAAUCCGAGUGAUUUCUGCUAAAGGAAUCUUUUGUCAGUCCUAGAAACACUGUUGAAUAAGGGGUGGGCAAGUUCUGGUGUCAGCCGCCGCGGUAAAACCAGCACCUCGAGUGGUCAGGAUGAUUAUUGGGCCUAAAGCAUCCGUAGCCUGCUUUAUCAGUUUUCGGUUAAAUCCACACGCUCAACGUAUGGGCUGCCGGGAAUACUGUAAAGCUAGGGAGUGGGAGAGGUAGACGGUACUCGGGAGGAAGGGGUAAAAUCCUUUGAUCUCUCGAUGACCACCUGUGGCGAAGGCGGUCUACCAGAACACGUCCGACGGUGAGGGAUGAAAGCUGGGGGAGCAAACCGGAUUAGAUACCCGGGUAGUCCCAGCUGU
rnacentral:rRNA from 1 species